GCUUAAUGCUGGUAUUUUGUAGGGUAACCUGAUAGUUGUGAUUAACAUAUAAUCUGAAGUUACCAUCUUGUAAGGUGUAUAUUGUCUCCAUGCGUGUGAGUGAACCUUUGAGACUGGGUGGUUAGAUUGUGAAUUUGGCAGUAGAGUUAAAAGCAAUGCACAGUUAAAUGUGUUGAUUUUCUUAGAGGUGACAAAUUUACUCUUUUUAACAAAAAAAUGGUGUGGCUGCUUAAAUUUUUUGUAGUGGGGUGUCAUUUUCUUCAAAUAUUCAUUUUAUUUAAUACGGAGAUGGUUAGUUGUAU
rnacentral:misc_RNA from 1 species